rnacentral:rRNA from 1 species
GCGUGAAGGACGAAGGCCUUCGGGUUGUAAACUUCUUUGAUCAGGGACGAAAGCGAUGACGGUACCUGAGGAACAAGCCACGGCUAACUACGUGCCAGCAGCCGCGGUAAUACGUAGGUGGCAAGCGUUAUCCGGAUUUACUGGGUGUAAAGGGCGUGCAGGCGGUCUGGCAAGUCGGAUGUUUAAUCCCCGGGCUUAACCCGGGGCGGUCGUCCGAAACUGCCGGACUUGAGUACUGGAGAGGAUAGUGGAAUUCCUAGUGUAGCGGUAAAAUGCGU